GCCUCUGUGGCCUAAUGGAUAAGGCAUCGGUCUCCUAAACCGGGGAUUGUGGGUUCGGGUCCCACCAGAGGUA
rnacentral:tRNA from 1 species